AUGCACGCUGGCGGCGUGCCUAAUACAUGCAAGUCGAGCGAACAGACGAGGAGCUCGCUCCUCUGACGUUAGCGGCGGACGGGUGAGUAACACGUGGAUAACCUACCUAUAAGACUGGGAUAACUUCGGGAAACCGGAGCUAAUACCGGAAAAUAUAUUGAACCGCAUGGUUCAAUAGUGAAAGACGGUUUUGCUGUCACUUAUAGAUGGAUCCGCGCCGCAUUAGCUAGUUGGUAAGGUAACGGCUUACCAAGGCAACGAUGCGUAGCCGACCUGAGAGGGUGAUCGGCCACACUGGAACUGAGACACGGUCCAGACUCCUACGGGAGGCAGCAGUAGGGAAUCUUCCGCAAUGGGCGAAAGCCUGACGGAGCAACGCCGCGUGAGUGAUGAAGGUCUUCGGAUCGUAAAACUCUGUUAUUAGGGAAGAACAAAUGUGUAAGUAACUAUGCACGUCUUGACGGUACCUAAUCAGAAAGCCACGGCUAACUACGUG
rnacentral:rRNA from 1 species